GACGGACGGUGCAAGCGUUGCUCGGAAUCACUGGGCGUAAAGGGUGCGUAGGCGGCCGUGCAAGUCUGUCGUGAAAGCCCCGGGCUCAGCCCGGGAAGUGCGCUCGAAACUGCGCGGCUCGAGUGCCGGAGGGGAGAGUGGAAUUCCUGGUGUAGCGGUGAAAUGCGUAGAUAUCAGGAGGAAUACCGGUGGCGAAAGCGACUCUCUGGACGGCAACUGACGCUGAGGCACGAAAGCGUGGGGAGCAAACAGG
rnacentral:rRNA from 1 species